rnacentral:rRNA from 1 species
GACGAACGCUGGCGGCGCGCCUAACACAUGCAAGUCGAACGAGCGAGAGAGAGCUUGCUUUCUCGAGCGAGUGGCGAACGGGUGAGUAACGCGUGAGGAACCUGCCUCAAAGAGGGGGACAACAGUUGGAAACGACUGCUAAUACCGCAUAAGCUCACGACCCGGCAUCGGGUAGAGGGAAAAGGAGCCAUCCGAUUUGAGAUGGCCUCGCGUCCGAUUAGCUAGUUGGUGAGGUAACGGCCCACCAAGGCGACGAUCGGUAGCCGGACUGGGAGGUUGAACCGAGACUUUGACGGUAGGACACAGCCCAGAAUCCUACGGAAGGCAGCAGAGCGGAAUAUUGCAAAAUCGGGGAAGCCAUGAUGGAGCGACGCUGCGUGGAGGAAGAAGGUCUUCAGAUAGUAAACUCCUGUUGUUGAGGAAGAUAAUGACGGUACUCAACAAGGAAGUGACGGCUAACUACGUG